CCUACGGGUGGCUGCAGUGGGGAAUAUUGGACAAUGGGGGCAACCCUGAUCCAGCCAUGCCGCGUGUGUGAAGAAGGCCCUCGGGUUGUAAAGCACUUUCAGUGAGGAAGAACGCCUGGUGGUUAAUACCCAUCAGGAAAGACAUCACUCACAGAAGAAGCACCGGCUAACUCCGUGCCAGCAGCCGCGGUAAUACGGAGGGUGCGAGUGUUAAUCGGAAUUACUGGGCGUAAAGCGCGCGUAGGUGGCUUGAUAAGCCGGUUGUGAAAGCCCCGGGCUCAACCUGGGAACGGCAUCCGGAACUGUCAAGCUAGAGUGCAGGAGAGGAAGGUAGAAUUCCCGGUGUAGCGGUGAAAUGCGUAGAGAUCGGGAGGAAUACCAGUGGCGAAGGCGGCCUUCUGGACUGACACUGACACUGAGGUGCGAAAGCGUGGGUAGCAAACAGGAUUAGAUACCCCAGUAGUC
rnacentral:rRNA from 1 species